rnacentral:rRNA from 1 species
CCUACGGGUGGCAGCAGUGAGGCAUAUUGGUCAAUGGACGAGAGUCUGAACCAGCCAAGUAGCGUGAAGGAUGACUGCCCUAUGGGUUGUAAACUUCUUUUAUAUGGGAAUAAAAUGUUCCACGUGUGGGAUUUUGUAUGUACCAUAUGAAUAAGGAUCGGCUAACUCCGUGCCAGCAGCCUCGGUAAUACGGAGGAUCCGAGCGUUAUCCGGAUUUAUUGGGUUUAAAGGGAGCGUAGGUGGAUUGUUAAGUCAGUUGUGAAAGUUUGCGGCUCAACCGUAAAAUUGCAGUUGAAACUGGCAGUCUUGAGUACAGUAGAGGUGGGCGGAAUUCGUGGUGUAGCGGUGAAAUGCUUAGAUAUCACGAAGAACUCCGAUUGCGAAGGCAGUUCACUGGACUGCAACUGACACUGAGGCUCGAAAGUGUGGGUAUCAAACAGGAUUAGAUACCCCAGUAGUC